UUUUUUAGCUGCACUUUUGUAGACCGCCGCUCUGUGGUAUUCUAAGCCGCAGGUAAUGAAGCCCAUUUUGCAGCAGUUUGCUGAAAUGCUAGUCGGACCGCUACCUUCUCCCAAAUCGAAGCUGAAAACCCUUUGUCUCAACGCCAUAAUCCAAAUCAAAGAUCCUAACUCGUCGUUUGAUCUUUCACGCUUCAUCUGCGCACUCUCUCACUCAUUUCCCUUUUGAAACUCGCUGUUCGAUCUCUUACGCCUCAUCUGCGCACCCUCUCACUCAUUUCCCUCUUGAAACUCGCUGUUUGAUUUCUCUCCCUUUUAAAAAACAAGUUUCCGACCCUCUUAAAAUCUCAGAGCAGGUUUUCGACCCUCUUAAAAUCGCAGGUGAAGUGUACCUUUUUAGGUGUGUCUCCUUCUUCCACAAAAAGCUUACCACAUUAAACCCUCUUAGUUCCCUCUCGAACAGCAAAUUUUCACGUGCCUCACCGCUCAGUUCGCUAACUCCUUCCCUGGUCGACACCCUUUGGAAAUCACAGAUGAAUCGAAUGUACAAAUGAGGAGAGAGGAUUUACCUACAUGUCAAAGAUAUGGAAUUUUCCUCCAGCCCAACAAAUUGUUGUGAAGUUUAACAAAUUCUUCCAAGUUGUUGGCACCGAAUGUUCUUUUCUUUACAGAUUCAUAAGCACCGAUUGAUUGCUUUAAAUUGCGCAAGAUGGAUCCAACCUAUAAAGACUCUUGCUAGAAAAUUCUUGAGUUGGAGAAGCAUGGGAUAACUCCUACAAGAGGAAACUUGUAUGUGUCACUUCAUACAAAGAAGGAUGGCACUCCUAUCUCAAGAAAGGCUGCAGAAAACAUAAUACAUUCUUUUCACUUUUCCAUAAUUAAUUUCUAAAUUUGGUGCAAAAACUAACUUCUUUAUGUUCUCUUUUCAUAAUAUAAUAUAAAGAAAAAUUUGAAAGCUUUAAUGGAAGAGGAAGAAGGACGGGAAGAUAGCUCAAGGUAAGAUUCAAUGUGGACCCUUGAUGAUAUUUUUGCUAAGAUAAUAGGAAAGGAAAGGCAUGGUCGUGUUUGCAGUCCAGGCUUAGGUGCAACUCCUUCUAUGCUCAGUGGAUCAACCGCAGAUAUUUUUGAGUCAAUAGAGGAGAUGCGUGUGCAGGAACUUUUGAAAGAUGAACUAAUGAAAGUACUUAUUGAGAGAGCAUCUUCUUUAGAGAUAAUGGAGGAACAAACCCAAAGGAAGAUAGCCAUAAUAAUAGAUAUUAUGUUAUCCAAUCAAAAUCAUGAUCGAUAUGCACAAGUUUGGUUUAUAAAAUUUGUCAAUAUUAGUUAUUGCUUGUUUAUUAAUUUUUAACAAGUUACUUGUUCCUAAUGUAGAUUCAAGUUUUGGCAAGUGGCAGUAAUUUUGAAUCUCCUGGUGCAUGUGGAUGUUCCUUAGGAAGCACUGAGCAUUGUGAUAAUCUAUCGUAUAGUUCAAGUUUGUUUUUACUUUAUCUUCUUUUACAUAAAAAAAUAAUCACUAAGAAAUUCUUUCCCUUGUUCUACUUCUAACUUCAAACAAAGGAUAAAGAACAUCCGAACCAUAAUCAAAUUUAGGAGGAAUAUACUUUGUCAUUGAGGUGAGUUCUUGAGCUCUUUUGUAAAACUGAUUUAAUUUCACAAUUUGGUUUCGAUUAUUUUGCUAUUUAGAUUUUUUUUUUUUUGUUGUUAUUAUUGGAUUAAGCCUAUGUAUCAGCAUUUUCCUUGCCAUCAUGCCUAAGCAACCUAUCACGGUUUUCCUCAUCACCCGGGCAUCACUUGUUCCAUUGUUCCAAAAGUUUAUGUGAAAAUGCUUAAAGAAGCCCACAACACUGAUUUUAAUUUCUUGUGAUUAACCAAACACUUUUAGACGUUUCCUCCUUGUCUAUAAGUCCAGUUGCAGUUAUGAUUUUGUGUUUAGUUGGUUAUGGUGGCUUAUCUAUUGUUAUGAUGUUGCGCCGUUAUUUUUUAUUUUUUUAUUUUUUGCUGCUUAGUGAUGCUUUUGGGGGGCUAUGAUUCCCGUGUUGUAGAUUUGUACUUGUAUCUACUGACCUAGGAUGAGUUUUUUUCUUACUCAUUUGUUGUUUGAUCUUGUGUUAACUACAGGUCCUUUGUCUAAGAUAUUCAUAGAGAGCCAAAGGAAAAUCAUGGUUGCUGCCCUGCCAGGUGUGAUUGAGUUCUGAUUGCUCUAGCUGCAGCAUAUAUGGCUUUGUAGUCGUGCAUUUGUCCGAGGCACUUUUUGGUUGGAGCAAGAAUAUUGUGAAGAUUGGAGAGCAUGUAUGAUUUUAUUUUUUGGGACCAAAACAAGUCCAAGUGAUGUGCAGCAGCUUUUUGAUGAUUUAUUAUUUUUUGGGACCAAAACAAUUGCAUGUGCUUGGAGAUUACGUAUAAAUAGAUUCAAGUUGUUAAUGUUA